rnacentral:rRNA from 1 species
AUUGAACGCUGGCGGCAUGCUUUACACAUGCAAGUCGAACGGCAGCGCGGGCUUCGGCCUGGCGGCGAGUGGCGAACGGGUGAGUAAUGCAUCGGAACGUGCCCAGUAGUGGGGGAUAGCCCGGCGAAAGCCGGAUUAAUACCGCAUACGACCUGAGGGUGAAAGCGGGGGACCGAAAGGCCUCGCGCUAUUGGAGCGGCCGAGGUCGGAUUAGCUAGUUGGUGGGGUAAAGGCUUACCAAGGCGACGAUCCGUAGCUGGUCUGAGAGGACGACCAGCCACACUGGGACUGAGACACGGCCCAGACUCCUGCGGGAGGCAGCAGUGGGGAAUUUUGGACAAUGGGGGCAACCCUGAUCCAGCCAUGCCGCGUGCGGGAAGAAGGCCUUCGGGUUGUAAACCGCUUUUGUUCGGGAAGAAAUCCUCUGGGCUAAUACCCCGGGGGGAUGACGGUACCGGAAGAAUAAGCACCGGCUAACUACGUG